AGCUCUUAAUUGAGACCAACGAAAUUACCUGUAUUUUUCCCUACCGGACGGGUGCUAUGAGCUUGCUCAACCCCGUCCACGGGUCGGCCUCGUAUUGCAUUACCUCGAGGAUUGGCCCAUUUAUC
rnacentral:snRNA from 1 species